GACGGACACGGAGGAAAAGGGCCUGCCUCACACCAGUUGAGUCAAUGAUUCAGUGGAGAGACAGUCUGGGCAGCAGCAACAAGACAACUAUUACAAAUAGAGACGGGUUUCAAAAACUGACACAACCACAUAUCAUCUAAAUCAUCUCCAAGUGGAUGUCAGCAAGGAUCCAGGAUCAAGAGAUCAUUCUUCAUGAAGACUGUUCCAUAGGAAGCAGUGAAUCCUGGGUGAAAAAGUCAUCCUGACCACUCUGCUGUCCUGGACGUGAGGAUAUGCUGAAACUGCAUUUCUCAUGGUUAAAAGAUUUGUGCAGCAGUAUCCAGAUAUACAAACAGCCUUCCUGGACCCACACGACUAAAGGCUCAGGAGGAGAGACAGGGAAAGAUGAAAAAUAAGGAAGUCUGGGAACAACUGAAGAAGACAGCAGUGAGGAAAGGAAGUAAUCAUCAGAAUCUCAGAGAAGUUUAUUGACGGUGCAGGCUCAGGAUGAAGAAGAGGGGGAAGAACACGUUAAACAAUUUUCUCAUACCUUUGCCAUGUGUUAAAAUAAAAACAAUAAACCUGACUACAAUAAUAUGCUAAAUGUUAUUAAAAGAUUCCAGUUUGCAAGAAAUCUGGAGUCUCUGACUCUGCACUAGAGGAACUCUUUGCUGAAGAAGAUCAGGUGCUGAGAAGGAGCCUUGUUCUACAGCAAAACACUGCAUCAAGCCUCCUGUCCUUCCCUCAGAAGAGCCUGUCUUCUGCUGCUGGGGUAAGAAAGACAUUCCUCUUCUCUAUCGGCUGUCCAGCACCUAACUCUGCCUCCGCAGCACUGUCUGAAAGAGUCUUCUCCACAGUCAGAGAUCACACAUUCUCCUGAGAAACUCAACACACUCAUUUUCUAAAAACUGUUUGUGUUUUGAAGUGGGCCAAAUAAUACAGGAGAGAUGCUAGAAAUCUCCAUAUUGUUGUUUUACAUAUCUUUACUCUUUAUGAAUGAAUGUCUUUUAUCUUCUGAGAAGCUCAAGAACUAUGGUUCUUUGGUAAUUGUAAUAUUGUUUAGGUUUAUCUUCUGAUAGUAAAGCCGUAUUAAAGCACAUCACCAGACAUUUGUAGCAG